UGAUGGGCUUAGAUGAUGG
rnacentral:siRNA from 1 species